UCCCUAGAGGAGUAGUGGUUAGGCCACAAUGCUUUCACUGCUGUGGCUGGGGUUCGAUUCCCGGCCAGGGAA